rnacentral:rRNA from 1 species
AACGAACGCUGGCGGCAGGCCUAACACAUGCAAGUCGAACGCUCCGCAAGGGGAGUGGCGCACGGGUGAGUAACACGUGGGAACCUACCUUCUGGUACGGAACAACCAAGGGAAACUUUGGCUAAGACCGUAUACGACCUCCGGGUGAAAGAUUGAUCGCCGGAAGAGGGGCCCGCGUCCGAUUAGGUAGUUGGUGAGGUAACGGCUCACCAAGCCUUCGAUCGGUAGCUGGUCUGAGAGGAUGACCAGCCACACUGGGACUGAGACACGGCCCAGACUCCUACGGGAGGCAGCAGUGGGGAAUAUUGGACAAUGGGCGCAAGCCUGAUCCAGCCAUGCCGCGUGAGUGAU